UAUAAAUAUAUUUCAUACAUGAGACUUUAUGUGCAUGUUUACUAAGCAUAAAGGCUUACUUUCAUUUUUGGUUGCAGGUCCGUGAAUCACUAUCAGGAAAGCUGUCAUUUAACAGUUUGACUCGUCCCAAGAGCACUAGUGCGGAAACAGUUUCAAAUAGACUGGGUGUCUUCCAAAGGAAGCAGAGGAAAAAUGUGUACAACACGUCUGACCACAGUGCAGCUUCACCCUCAAACCGCUUCAGUGCCUCGGACUCAUAAACAUUCUUCAUUAACUACAUGUAACAAAGCCUUUCAUCUGCUGUGAUCUAAGUGUAAUCUCCAUAAUGUGUUUCUGUGAUAAAACUAAUUACUUUAAAAUGUAAUGUAUUAUGUAAUGUAUGUGAUGACUGCUGUUAGUGGCUAAGGUAUAUGUCACAUGUUCAUUUUUACAAGGAC